rnacentral:RNase_P_RNA from 1 species
GAAGUGGGCCAGACGGUCGCCGGCCGGCGCGAGCCGGCUGGAGGAAGGUCCGGACUCCGCAGGGCAGGGUGCUGGCUAACGGCCAGGCGCAGCAAGCCGCAAGGCCCAAGGCGACGGAAAGUGGAACAGAAAGCACACCGCCGAAGCAUCCUUGGGCAUGCCCGCGAGGGCGUCCCCGGGGCGCUGGCAAGGGUGAAAUGGUGAGGUAAGAGCUCACCGCGUCCGUGGCGACACGGGCGGCAUGCCAAACCCCACCCGGAGCAACACCAAAUAGGCACGCGCGCGGCUUCGGCCGCACAGGGCGGCCCGCCCGAGCGUGCGGGUAGGUGGCAAGAGCGCGCCAGCAAUGGCGCGCCCAGACUAAUGACCGUCACGCCGGGCGACCGUCGCACAGAAUCCGGCCUAUCGGCCCGAUUCCCCU